CUUUGGGUGUGACUGCGUACCUUUUGUAUAAUGGGUCAGCGACUUAUAUUCUGUAGCAAGGUUAACCGAAUAGGGGAGCCGGAGGGAAACCGAGUCUUAACCGGGCGUUAAGUUGCAGGGUAUAGACCCGAAACCCGGUGAUCUAGCCAUGGGCAGGUUGAAGGUUGGGUAACACUAACUGGAGGACCGAACCGACUAAUGUUGAAAAAUUAGCGGAUGACCUGUGGCUGGGGGUGAAAGGCCAAUCAAACCGGGAGAUAGCUGGUUCUCCCCGAAAGCUAUUUAGGUAGCGCCUCGUGAAUUCAUCUCCGGGGGUAGAGCACUGUUUCGGCUAGGGGGCCAUCCCGGCUUACCAACCCGAUGCAAACUGCGAAUACCGGAGAAUGUUAUCACGGGAGACACACGGCGGGUGCUAACGUCCGUCGUGAAGAGGGAAACAACCCAGACCGCCAGCUAAGGUCCCAAAGUCAUGGUUAAGUGGGAAACGAUGUGGGAAGGCCCAGACAGCCAGGAUGUUGGCUUAGAAGCAGCCAUCAUUUAAAGAAAGCGUAAUAGCUCACUGGUCGAGUCGGCCUGCGCGGAAGAUGUAACGGGGCUAAACCAUGCACCGAAGCUGCGGCAGCGACACUGUGUGUUGUUGGGUAG
rnacentral:rRNA from 1 species